UGCCAAAUGAAGAUUUGAGGAUUCAAAUGAAUCUUCGAUAGUUCCAUUGAUCAAAAUCCAACUUCUUUAUCCUUCACUGAUUCAAUUUCUGUUUGCACGAACCAUGGCAGACGCACUGAUAGGAGGAACGUUUCUCUCUGCUUUCCUUCAGGUCUUGUUUGAUAGGAUUGCUUGUCCGGAGAUCGUUGACUUCUUCACCGGCCGGAAAUUCGAUGAUCAAUUGCUGAGCAAUUUGAAAACAACCUUGAGAUCUGUCAAUGGACUGCUCGAUGACGCAGAGGAGAAGCAGAUUUCUAAACCAGCUGUGAGAAAGUGGGUCGAUGAGCUUAAAGAUGCUGUCUAU
rnacentral:misc_RNA from 1 species